ensembl:lncRNA uncharacterized LOC114468469
CGGGCAGAGUACUAAUUACACAUGGUAGUAGUGUUAGUUUCACUUUUCCUUCAUGGCUUUUCAAAAAGAGUCGAUCUGUGAAACAUAGCCACAAGCCUCGCUGGGUGCCAUUAGGUGUGUGCUGAAGAUGGCACAGCCAGGUCGGACUGUACGAGUGAGUGGGCUUCCCUCAGACAUCCAGGACGUCAGGCUUAAAGACAAACUUCUCAUCCAUUUCCAGCGUGUCAGCAAUGGCGGUGGGGACAUUGACUCAGUCAAUAUAGUCAAAGGGACACCCAUGUCAGCCCUCAUCACGUUCCAGGAGAGUAGAGUGGCACAGAGAAUCAUUCGUCACAGCCAGCACGUUCUGGUCAUCGAUGGGAGGAGUUACAAACUCACUGCAACAGAGCAUUGUGAAUGCAUGGACCCAAAUCAGGUCAUCAUUCAUUUGUCAGCCACUGUUGACUACAGGUGGCUGCCUGGAGGAUCACUGUUUCUGACAAACCUUCUUGAGAACCACAGAGAUGUCCGCAUAAACUACAUUGAGACAGAAAAAUGCAAGUUGUCUGGUACUUAUUCCAAAGUCCAGGCAGCUUUGACACAGCUACUCGGACACGUUGGACACUCAGAAUCAGCUAAAGAUAAACUAAAUGUUGAAAAGGUAUCGAGUGAAUCAAAGGGUGUUAAAACAGCACACAAAUCUCGUGUUCAGGAGACAGAGGACCAGAACAGAAUGGUUCAAAAGCAGAAAGGAGAAGCCAAGCAAGAUGAAAAUAAUUACUCACCUGGUGACAGUAGCUCAAAGGAUAUCGGACAGGCUGCACUGAUGCCCAAAGAGGAUUGUUCACUGAUUGUAGAUGCAGUGUUGUUCAAAUAUCUGCAGAAACACUACAGCAAGGAAUGUCAAAAAACUCUCAGGCAGUAUAAUGUCAGUAUGUUGGAUGUGACAAAUGAGGGUUUAACUACUCUGACUCUGGAACCAUUAACUGUAGCUAGAGCGUUUUUUAAACCGGGUCACUUAACAUUGGCAAAAGAAGCAAUACGCAGGUUUUACCAGAAGCAUGAGGCAGAGAUCAGGCAAGUCAAGAUUCCGAAGACCCCACUGCCUUCUAAGGGACAGCUGGAAAGAGCAAUGGAAAGCCUAUGUACCAGAUAUCCCAAGCUUCUUGUGAGUGAAGAUGACCACUAUAUUGACAUUAUUGGGAGCUGCAGCGACGUGUCUGAAGCCAGGAUGUUUCUCCAGAAUUUUGACAAUACAGAGAUAAUUUCAAAACCGGAGCAGGCAAGUUUACCAAAACACACCUCAAGUCAUGUGGAAAGAUUUCCAUCAUCCCACAUUGGAGAUCCUUUGCUUAAGACAUUGUGGACAGAAGAGAAACAAAAGAUUCCCCAUAGACCCAAAAAGCCUAAACUGGCAGCUCAGUUCAAAGAUUUGGUUGCUUUUGGCCAUCGGUCAGCUGACAUCGGAAUUGGAACAAAUUCAUCUUGCAGUGGACAAAGCCGUCCUGGACCAAUGUUGGGUCUCAAUGUACUAUCAAAACCUGCAAAGGUUUCUGAUGAGCCUAUUUCCAGAGCAUUACCUCAAAGCAUUGCUUCGGACAUUUUGUUCAAAAAUAGUACCACUUUGCCAGCAUCAGUGCUGAACCCAGAACUAACGGAUGCUCGACCCAAGAGUUUAACACCUGUAAAACUAACUUCUCAGUUUAGUUUUACAGGAAACGCUGAUUUUCAACUAGUUGCAUCCAAAUCCACACUCAGACGCUCUAAUAGUUUCUCAGCGAUUCCUCAGGAAAAGGCUGUGGUUAUGGAGUCAAAAAGCCUGGAUAACUCCAGCAAAACUCCAGUGAGAUCCAGGGCCAGGUCUUCUAGUUUUAGCAGUGAAACCAACAAGGAAAAACAUGAGAUCACUGUUCCUUUGUCGAUUUGGGAAUACAUGAACCAGGUGCAUAGAGUCCAAAUAGACGACCUGACCUCUGAUGUCCUGAUGAAUGAGAGGUUGUCAGAUGAUUGUAAGCAUAAGAUACUGACCCUAAGGGGUGCAAACGAGGACAAAGUGAGUUUCAGCCAAUUAUGUCUCCAGCAGCUGGUUGACUCAUUGCGUUAUGACAUAUCUGUAAAUGAACUGUACCUGUCAGAAUUAGGAGUGUCCGACUCAAAGGAUGAAACCUUGCGGGCUUGCUGUUCUGAAAUGCAAAGUCGAUUUAAAAAGGUUUGUGUUAAAUUUACUAAACAUAGAAUGAUCAUUACCGGCCCAAGAAAUUUGUGUUCUCAGUUGUGUGCCACCUUGAGGGACGUCUUUUCUGGAAGUUUGGACCAAACUGAUAACCAGCCUAAGAGCACCGCCCCGUAUAACUCUAUGGGGAACUUUCCUUCCUCAUUGGAAAUAAAUAGGGAUCGUGUACCGGAGUAUGACAGUAAUAAGUUUUCAAGCAAAGCAGAGGGAAGCAGCAAAAUUCAGGGAUGGCAGACAACCUAUAAGAGUGACUUCUGUGAGAAAGAGGCAGCAAACGGAUUUACAAGUCUCCCAACAGUGAACAAAACAAGUACAGUUGACUCGACUCCUUCAUUUCUCGGGCUCACUGCUUCAGGAAAUGAUACAGAGGAAGGAAUAAAAGGUGACGGGCUGAACAACAGAGCUGGAGACGUCAAGCAGAUAGACAGUGUAGGGGAACACCAAGCAAAGACUGACAACUGA